AUGACUCUAGCUUCUAGAAUUGGCAUUUCUAUAAUAGAAUAGAAGACUCAAAUAAAUAGGUAAAAGUGUCUUCAUGUUAUACAAUAAUCUUCUCUCAUCAAUUCUCAAUUCUCACAUAUGUGUAUGUAUUGAUCAUGAAUGCUCAAGAAAUUGAACAGGAAGGAAAAGUGCAUCUAUUAUUGUAGAAUUUAUAAAUGUAUAUGAAUCAAUGUAAAUAGACAACAAUCACUAUAACAUGUGAAUGUCAUAUGAGCAUCCAGUAGUAUGAUAUUUCCACGGUUAUAUAAAGCAUAUAUUUGAAAUCUUA